AAAUUUUUUCAUUGUUUAUCUAAAAUCCAAAUUUAUCUAGGUAUCCAAUACCUUAUCUGGCAACCCUACCCAAGUCAGACUCGAGCAUGUGGAUCUGCUCGAUCUGCUAUAAAUGGCAAAAAUCACCAUAAGUUUAUAUUUUAUAUUCCAGAAAGCUCUACCAGGAGUGGGGGCUACAGAUCAACCUGGAUGGGGCAGUUAGUGUUGUGCCCAAGAUUGCGAAUCCGAGAAACCACCAAGGAGCCGACACCAAUGCAAACACACGAGGGUUUAUUUACAAGCUCGAGCUUGGGUCCAAGUGUACCCGACACAGCGGAGCAGGGACUUGGACCCCAAGGUGGGUUUCAGCUUAGUUUUUUAUAGGCUGGUCUAGGGGAUUUUCAGAAGGGGUAGAGGAAUUUCUCAAGUUCUGUUUACAUUUUGAUAUGGGGCUUUCA
rnacentral:lncRNA from 12 species